CUACGGGCCGCUCCAGUGGGGAAUAUUGGGCAAUGGGCGCAAGCCUGACCCAGCAACGCCGCGUGAGGGAAGAAGGUUUUCGGAUUGUAAACCUCUGUCCUUGGGGACGAAGAAGUGACGGUACCCAAGGAGGAAGCUCCGGCUAACUACGUGCCAGCAGCCGCGGUAAUACGUAGGGAGCAAGCGUUGUCCGGAAUUACUGGGCGUAAAGGGUGCGUAGGCGGCAUAUUAAGUCAGGUGUGAAAUACUCGGGCUCAACCCGGGGGCUGCAUUUGAAACUGAUAUGCUUGAGUGUGAGAGAGGAAAGUGGAAUUCCUAGUGUAGCGGUGGAAUGCGUAGAUAUUAGGAGGAACACCAGUGGCGAAGGCGACCUUCUGGCUCAUAACUGACGCUGAGGCACGAAAGCGUGGGGAGCAAACAGGAUUAGAUACCCUUGUAGUC
rnacentral:rRNA from 1 species